rnacentral:tmRNA from 1 species
GGGCUAGUAAAGGUUUCGACAGGGAUUAUGAAACUGGAGAAGCGAGUCGUAUGGUAAUGCGUUAAAUGGCCAAAUUAAAAUUAAACGCUGAAGAUAAUAAUUUAGCAUACGCUGCCUAAUUUGGCAGUAGUCUGACCUAGUGCACUCACACAUUAGGACCCAGGCUUCGACUAUGUGAGAAACGACAUGGACUAAGCUUUGCGUCCAUGGGCGUAUCAUGAAGCUACUAAAACCGCAAGGGUGUUUGUUCCCGGGCGGCAGAGGGAAUGUCAAAGAACAAACUACACUCGUAGAAGGACAGGGGAUUGGUUUUUGGACACGGGUUCGACUCCCGUCUAGUCCACUC